UAGACCUAAAAGAAUGAAGAGGCACAUGUGCUGAAAUUAGAGUAGAAAUAAAGGAAAGGCAAUAUGACCAAGGAAACACGUCUGUAAGUUGAGUUCCCUGCACAGCCCUCACUUUGAAGACGUAAGUGUUGGAUGCUGCGAAUGAUGGAUUAAAACCUCAUCUCAGGCCAGCAGCUCCAGAGAAUAUUGGACUAUUCAUCAUAAUAGUUACCUGAGUGGUGACCAGACAUCCUGUAGAGCUCAUCUUGAUAAGUAGUGCUCCCCAAAAUAAUUUGGAUCAUAACCCUCUAUUUCUUCAGUCUGGAAUGAAGCCAACAACUACCACCUGUCUGACAUCAUGCACCUUAGCUGCUCAGAUUUCCUGUUUUACCCUUUCUUCCACCUCCAUAUUGGGUCAUUAUAUGCUUUGUAGCACAUUUGAGUUGUCAUAAACUUUAUUUGACAUUUGACUGCACCAGGUCAUACUUUCUGCUCUUUCCCACAUGCCCAGGUAGUUAUUGUUGUUGCAUUAAAAAAAAAAAGAGAGAAAGAAGUUCCAAAUUAUUACAGUUCACAUAGUUAUCACAAGGUUAUUAUUUAAAAUAUUUAUCACAAGGUUAUUAUUUAAAAUAUUAAUCUGUAGAGUUCUGAUGUCUGCUAGCUACAGAAUUGAAUUAAAGAAUACACUUAGGAAAGAUUAUAGGGACCACCUUAUCCACCCAAACUCACCUUAGG
rnacentral:lncRNA from 1 species